rnacentral:misc_RNA from 1 species
AACGAGGCCGACCUGCGGCUGAGUUACCUGCGGAAGGAUCAUUAUCGAGUUGCAAAACUCCAACCCUUUGUGAACAUACCUCAGUCGUUGCUUCGGCGGUGGACGGCCUGUUUUUCGGAACGGCCGGAAGCCGCCGGAGGUUCCAAACUCGUAUUUUUUAGUGUAUCUCUGAGCCUGAAAACAAAUAAUCAAAACUUUCAGCAAUGGAUCU